rnacentral:rRNA from 1 species
AUUGAACGCUGGCGGCAGGCCUAACACAUGCAAGUCGAACGGUAACAGGAAGAAGCUUGCUUCUUUGCUGACGAGUGGCGGACGGGUGAGUAAUGUCUGGGAAACUGCCUGAUGGAGGGGGAUAACUACUGGAAACGGUAGCUAAUACCGCAUAACGUCGCAAGACCAAAGAGGGGGACCUUCGGGCCUCUUGCCAUCGGAUGUGCCCAGAUGGGAUUAGCUAGUAGGUGGGGUAACGGCUAACCUAGGCGACGGUCCCUAGCUGGUCUGAGAGGAUGACCAGCCACACUGGAACUGAGACACGGUCCAGACUCCUACGGGAGGCAGCAGUGGGGAAUAUUGCACAAUGGGCGCAAGCCUGAUGCAGCCAUGCCGCGUGUAUGAAGAAGGCCUUCGGGUUGUAAAGUACUUUCAGCGGGGAGGAAGGGAGUAAAGUUAAUACCUUUGCUCAUUGACGUUACCCGCAGAAGAAGCACCGGCUAACUCCGUGCCAGCCGCCGCAGUAA